GUCUCGGUGGCGCAAUUGGUAAGUUCAACUUCAACAACACAAUUUCGUAUACAAGAUUCUAAUUCACCUAAAAGGUUAGCGCGUAUGACUGUUAAUCAUGAGGUUGAGAGUUCGAUCCUCUCCUGGGACG